AUUGAACGCUGGCGGAAUGCUUUACACAUGCAAGUCGAACGGCAGCACGGACUUCGGUCUGGUGGCGAGUGGCGAACGGGUGAGUGAUGUAUCGGAACGUGCCCAGUCGUGGGGGAUAACGUAGUGAAAAUUACGCUAAUACCGCAUACGAUCUAUGGAUGAAAGCGGGGGAUCGCAAGACCUCGCGCGAUUGGAGCGGCCGAUAUCAGAUUAGGUAGUUGGUGGGGUAAAGGCCCACCAAGCCCACGAUCUGUAGCUGGUCUGAGAGGACGGCCAGCCACACUGGAACUGGGACGCGGUCCAGACUCCUACGGGAGGCAGCAGUGGGGAAGUUUGGACAAUGGGCGAAAGCCUGAUCCAGCCAUUCCGCGUGCAGGAUGAAGGCCCUCGGGUUGUAAACUGCUUUUGUACAGAACGAAAAGGUUUCUACUAAUACUAGGAGCUCAUGACGGUACUGUAAGAAUAAGCACCGGCUAACUACGUGCCAGCCGCCGCGGUAA
rnacentral:rRNA from 1 species